rnacentral:rRNA from 1 species
AUACGGAGGGGGCUAGCGUUGUUCGGAAUUACUGGGCGUAAAGCGCACGUAGGCGGAUUAAAAAGUUAGAGGUGAAAUCCCAGGGCUUAACCCUGGAACUGCCUUUAAAACUAGUAGUCUAGAGUUCGAGAGAGGUGAGCGGAAUUCCAAGUGUAGAGGUGAAAUUCGUAGAUAUUUGGAGGAACACCAGUGGCGAAGGCGGCUCACUGGCUCGAUACUGACGCUGAGGUGCGAAAGCGUGGGGAGCAAACAGGAUUAGAAACCCCAGUAGUCC